rnacentral:rRNA from 1 species
AUGGAUUCUGAUCGCAGAAUCUUCAAAGUGCACUUGACACCCCAGAUUAACAUCCAAGAACUACCAGUCAUCGAGUCAAGCAUGAUCAGUAAACGGAAUCUUUCCAAUGCAUGGCUGGUGGCUUGUGGCGAUAUGCUACUCUUGGUCGGCUGUCGGGGAUCUAUUGUGGUAUCAGGGGUAACCUUUGAAGUCUUUCGCCUUGACCUAUCAUUUGAGCCUGCACUGUGGUUCAAGGUGGAGAAGCUAGAGCAUUGGGCGAUAUUCAUCAGCACGGACAAGAGAAGCCAGGCUUUGUCUUGCAUGAACCCAGAGAUAUGGGGAGGGCGGAGCAACUGCAUAUACUGCUAUAACCAGGAGUCUGAACGUUGGAUUUCACUUGAGCUCGGCAAGCCGCUGCAGGGAGAUGUCUUUAUUUUUAUGGGUUGUGAUGGCAAGGUGCAACCUAUGUGGGUUAUCCCCAGCAUGCUCUCUGUGUGUAGGUGA